UUUAACAAAUAAAUAGUUUAACACAGUGUCUAAUAAAUACUGAUGGACUAAGUAAAUGCUUUUCAGAUUUCUGGAUUACCUUCAUGCUACAAGUAAGAAAACAGAUGAUCGUGAUGACCACUUGCUACAGACUUGUGACUAUCAAAUGGCAAGGAACGGAGAGGCCAGGAGGCGGGAUGACUUGUUGCCAGCGCCAGGAUGUUCACCUAGUUCAGUCUUGUCAACAUCACGCACCCAGGUUGGUGUCAGGACGUGCACGUAUUUCUCAGUUCCAUAAUACACGUAAGAA
rnacentral:lncRNA from 1 species